CGGGACGGGUGAGUAAUGUCUGGGAAACGGCCCGAUGGAGGGGGAUAACUACUGGAAACGGCAGCUAAUACCGCAUAACGUCGCAAGACCAAAGAGGGGGACCUUCGGGCCUCUUGCCAUCGGAUGUGCCCAGAUGGGAUUAGCUAGUAGGUGGGGUAACGGCUCACCUAGGCGACGAUCCCUAGCUGGUCUGAGAGGAUGACCAGCCACACUGGAACUGAGACACGGUCCAG
rnacentral:rRNA from 1 species